CAAAUGAAGCAGAAGAGAAUUGAAACUAUUAUAAGUUAAUCAAAGAAAUUCCCAUUUUUGUUCCAAAAAAAGAUGAGUUUGGGAAUCAAACAAAA